GGUAGGUGCUGGCCUGUGGGAGCUCACCUGUCGAUGCUGAUGACACACAGGGUCAUGAUGGAAGCGGUACAGCAUAUCACGUCCAUGGCGAUGAAGACAUUGCAGAAGAGCUGCCCGAAGAUCCACUGGCCGCCGAUCAGAUUUGACAAUUAUAUCAAUGUUUCUGCUCCGGGUGGUGAAUAUUGGAAGGAAGGAAUCUCAUUUCAGGAAUUGAACUUCAAAUUGAAAUGGAGAAAGAAGUAUUUUGUGGAAGAGGGGGUGAAUUCUCCCACUCCUUCGGUAUAACUUUAAUAGAAACUUCAAAAUCCUGCACAAAUGGUUCGCUUGCUGGACCCCUGACAAAGAUAGAAUCUAAGAGCAGGAAGAGCUCAGAGAAAAGCAUUAAGAACUGGUCAACUAACAUGCACAUACAGAGAAGAAGGGGAUGAAGUCCAGAUACAUAAAACUUUCCUAUUAUGAGUGAAUGAUGAGUACAACAGGAUAUGACCAUGAUGGAUGUCUGGGUGACUGUCGGAAAGAUGCAUGUUGAAGAUGGGGUUCGGACUCUGAAUAGGAAACACAGCUUACUGUAAGCAUGCUUUUCGAGUGAAUUAUACCUGGAAUAGUCCUUCAUGCGAUUCCCUAGCAGUCAGUUAUGUGGCUACAAUAACCACUUGCAGACUGAGAGAGGAGGAGGUCAACAACUCUAUACAUUCCCUUGGUAUCAGCUCCUGUCCUCUCUGAGGCACUACAAUGUGUAGGAUCCAGCGGACCACAGCGAUCUUGGAGGCCCAUGUAGGAGCAAGGAUUUGCAAAGCACUGGAAAUCACCAUCAGCAAACUAAUAGCUUGAUGCUAACAUGGUUCCCAUUAUGCCACUCCAGGUCCUGAGUGGUAGGGUUUCUCAUCAAAAUCAAUGGUCAAUUCAUCAUUGGGUAUCUUUAUCAUCCAGGAACCAAACACUGUGACUGUUAAGUGCAGAAGACACUGAUGAUGAAGGAGCUAAGCCUGCUUCCAUGAUACCUGGCAUGGAGUUGCAUAAUGUUCGUCCAGUUGUCACAGGACAGUAGCACAUCAAUAGAACUGAGUUUGCUGACUGAUCUGGUGGUGCCUCAAUUAUCAGAUGAGUACAAUCAAUCAGUCCAUGGAUCUGUCAAAUUCUGUAUGUGAUCUGAACCAUCCAUUCCUCUAGGUUUCAUUUGCUUCGUCAGUAUCAAAGUUGAUCUAGUUUGUGACCUUUGUAAACAAGAUAUAAGCAGAGCUAUCCCUAGGGAAGUACAAAUUAUGGUGAUCACUCCAGGCCUGGUGCAUUGUGGGGUGUGGAAGGGCCUGGUGGUCUCUUUAGGGAACUGGGAGAAACUAGAAACCAGGGAGGCAAUAUCUUUGAAUAGGUGAGGAUGAUACUGUGUGAUUUUUCCUUUUGCUUCCAGUUUAGUUUGUAGAUGGCAAGAUGUCAUUAACACAAGGAAAGCCUCGUAAAAUCGCAAUCAUGAUUACUGAUGCUAGGAUGGUGAACUCAGAGAUUUUCAUUCACAAACAGGAGAGUCAUAAGCUAGAAUUGGAGAUGGUGAUGGUGUUGUGUACAGUGUGAUUUGCCUGAAGCCCCACAUUCCACCUUGGGAUGGCUGUGGACAUUGGUGGCAUGGGUAUUGCCUAUGUGGGCAGUAGAUUGUGAAAUUUUGCAGAUGACACCUGCAGAUCCUUGGAAGGAAAGAAAUGGAGUUUCUGGUCACCUUGACAACCGUGGGUUAUGGAUGGCUAUCUGUUCUGCGAGGUUGGCCAUCUGCUUCCAAAAAUCUCUGAUUAUUUGCUCCGAGAGCCUAAUGUUAGGACAUUGCAAGGAAGAUGACUCUUUGCCUUUAAAGCCUGAACCUCCUUUGAGUUACCAGCCUGGGCCUACCCCCUGUAUUGGGCCCAUGUGUCUGUAGGAGAGACAGAAACUGCAGUUAGAUUAGUUGCCCCUUUCACUCUGGCUGUUGGGCUGAUGCAAGCUGCUGCUUCUCCUGCAAAGUUCAAACUACUGAAACAGAGAUAACACCCAUGUUACGGGGAUUUCUUUUUUAUUACUCAUUCAUAGGAUAUGGGUGCAGCAGGGCAGCAUUUAAGGGUCAACCACAUUGCUGCAGGUCUGGAGUUACGUAUAGGCCAGACUAGAUAAGGUUGGCAGUCUCACUCCCUAAAGGAUGCGAGAGAACUGGUCAUGCUGUAUGACAAUCGAUUGGGGUUCUGGGUUACGAGCCCACUGUCAUUGACUCUACAGACAAAAAGUGAAGGUUUAUACUUCAGGGUCCCUGUAAAUUACUGACAUAUUGUCAUUUGACUUAGAAGCAGAAGUAGGGAAAAUUUGUAAUUGCUUGAAAAUGUUGAAUGAUUUGUAAUUGUUUUCAAAAAUGUUUGAAAAGGACUUUUAACAAUUUGUAAACUUGUGGAAGCAGGCCAUUUUAUUUGGAUGUAAUUUUAUGUACUGUCCGUGUGACCUGGUAAACUUUAAUGAAGAUUCAUUAACUAUUUUGUUGUCACCUGCACUGAAAAGCUUUGUUUACAAGUGGUACAGGCAGCUCAAAAAGACUUAAAGGCAUAUGGGUUACAUUGCAAGUGAUAUGAUUUGAGGCUAGAGCCCAUUCAACAGUCUGAUAAUAACUGGAAAGAAGCUGUUCCUGAACCUGCUUGUUCAUGUGUUCAGGUUUCCAUAUCUUUUGCCUGCUGGAAGAGGUUGUAGGAGAUAAUUAUCGGGGUGCUUUGAUGUUGUUGACAGCCUUUCCACAGCAGCGAGCCAUGUAAAUGGAGUCCAUGGAUAGAAGGUUAGGUUCUGUGAUGAUCUGGGCUGUGCGCACCAUUUCUGUAGUUUCUUACUGUCCUGGGCAGAGCAGUUGCCAUUACAGGCCAUUAUGUACCCGGACAGUUUGCUUUCAAUGGUAUGUCCAUAGAAGUUGGUGAGGGACCUUACGGACAUGCCAAAUUUCCUGAACCACCUGAGGAAGAAGUAGUAUAAGCUGAUCCAUGUGUAAUUUAUAAUUUGUACUGAUGGUGGUUGGCCUGUUAAGUUAUGUUUAAUUCACACUUAUUCUGACCCAUGUUAAUGUAAAACUUACAAGAAGUAUUAUCUUGUUUGGUAAUUUCUUUCUUUGCGAUCUAUGGUAAAUUUAGUUUUCUUUUUUUAUGGAUCCAUGCAGGGCUUGUUAACAUGGACAGAAUUACGAUAUCCAAAGAAAGUGGUGAAUUGAAUUUGAGAGAAUUACUGCUUGUAGUGUUCACCUCUCACUGUGGCUAACUGCUGGUUUGCUGAUAUCCGUGAUUGCCUUCCAACAGUUGCUAACAGUUCAAUUUCUACCAGAAUGUGUCAUUAAAGUAUGACUUGAUUGGCUUUUAAAGAACCUUAGUUUGUUACACACAAAUCCAAAGUGGUUUCCCAACUAUGCUCAGAACUCAGCUGGGUGAUACCAGGAUGAUGUUACUUUUAAACAAUUUAAUCCUCACGAGCCUUGCAAACUGACCGUCUGUUGCCUGGGCAAAGUUCCCCUUAAUCGUAUUGGACCAUUUUCAGGUCAACACUAUCCUUGAGCCAUGAGAAAUCUCAAAAUUGCCCACCAUCUUUUACUUUAAAUUGGUUGAGAAUGCCUGACCAAGGAAGUAUCGCCUGCCAAUUUAUACUUCC